rnacentral:rRNA from 1 species
UGAGAGGGUGUCCGGCCACACUGGGAUUGAGAUACGGCCCAGACUCCUUCGGGAGGCAGCAGUCGAGAAUCUUCCCCAAUGGGCGAAAGCCUGAGGGAGCGACGCCGCGUGAGGGAUGAAGGCCCUUUGGGUUGUAAACCUCUGUUAGGGGGAAAGAACAGCAGUGGGAGCAAUAUGUCCAUUGCCUGACGUUACCCCCAGAGAAAGCUCCGGCCAACUCCGUGCCAGCAGCCGCGGUAAUACGGGGGGAGCAAGCGUUGUCCGGAAUCAUUGGGCGUAAAGGGCGUGUAGGCGGUUUGGCAAGUCGAAUGUGAAAUCCCACGGCUCAACCGUGGAACUGCGUUCGAAACUGCCUUACUUGAGUGCGGGAGAGGUGUGCGGAAUUCCUGGUGUAGCGGUGGAAUGCGUAGAUAUCAGGAAGAACACCGGUGGCGAAGGCGGCACACUGGCCCAGCACUGACGCUGAGGCGCGAAAGCGUGGGGAGCGAACGGGAUUAGAUACCCCGGUAGUCCACGCUGUAAACUUUGGGCACUAGGUAUUGGAGGUCUCAACCCCUUCAGUGCCGUAGCUAACGCG